AGGAGCUAGGAAAAGAAAAUAAAAAAAUAAUAAAAGCCUCUUAUAGAGGUGUGGGGUGACAGUGGCCCCUUUCCCAUGACCAUUGAUCCCCCAAAUGAAUCCACACCCUUUGGGAAUGAAAGAGGAAGCCCAGAGUAGGCAAGGAUGGGAACACAGAGCCUCUCAACCAUGAGUCUGCAAAAUACAACCCGUAUAUCUAUUCUUGCUUUGACAAGUGCAGAUGAACUUAGAGAGCAGGGGUAGGUGAUGGGGAUUCAGGCCAGGGAAUAGAUUGCGAGUCCUGCUCCAGGUUGUGGGUCCUUUGGCCCUUCCAUGGCACUUAAAGAGGCAGGACAACCAGGAUCACAGCGCUGCUGCCUCAGGAGAAAGAAGCCUUCAACAAGGAAGAUCUGCUUUUAUUGACGGUGCGGAGAAGAGGCAUCCAGGAACUGUCUCCCACAUUACAGUGAGAGAACAUUGGGGUGGCCCAGUUGUGCUUUUCAGAACCAACAUCUUUAUAGUUCAUCUACUAAGUUAAUUCUUUUCUUCUCCGUAGGUGAAUACUUCUAUCUCUCCCAAUCCCAUAAAAUCUCACACACACAACCAAGAAUAAGAACAAGUGGUAUUUUUCCUCUAAAAUUCUUUUUCCUCUCUCUUUGAGACAAAGUCUCACUUUGUUUCCCGGGCUGGAGUGCAGUGGCAUGAUCUUGGCUCACUCUAGCCUCCACAUCCUGGAUUCAAGCGAUUCUUAUAUCUCAGCCUCCAAAGUAGCUGGAACUACAGUCACAUGCUACCACACCCAGCUAAUUUUUGUAUUUUUAGUAGAGACAGGGUUUCGCCAUGUUGGCCAGGCUGGUCUUGAACUCCUGACCUCAAGUGAUCUGCCUGCCUCUGCCUCCCAAAGUGCUGGGAUUAUAGGUGUGAGCCCCUGUGCUUGGCCCUUUCCUCCCUAAUUCUUCUCCCGUGGCAGCAUCUCCCUCCAUCCCAGGCUUUUAAUUAUCCUUAGUUUCAAGUUGAAAUUGAUCAACCCAUGUAAAAGACCAGCUGAGACAAAAGGAGUUGACUUAGCUUUGGCUUAUCCUUUGCUUUCUGGUCAGGGUCUGAACGAUCAUAAUGUGACAGAGGUGAGGAGGAAAACAAAGAAUUUAUAUUCCCAAUGACAAAGUCCAGGGUGCACAACAGAUGCCCUGCUAGACACUGUCAAAUACAGCUUCACUUGGAGAUACAGUGUAAGAAGUUGGAUGGUUCUGGGAGCUUUUAACCCCUCAGGAAGCACUAGAUGCAAGCAGGAAGGUGAUGGUUUAUGUGAGACCUGGACAAAGGAAGGUGAAGAAAAAUGUCACUGCUUCUUGAGCACGGAUUUGGGCAGUAGUGCCUUUCCUUCCCAAUGUCUGAGCCUGAUCAUUUGGGCAGCACUAUUCCUAGAGGAUGAAAAGAGCCAUCCAGUGGACCUCAUAGCCCAGUGAAAUUUCUCCUUGACCCAGUGAUUCUAAGAAUGGUUCCCAAGAUCUGUGAUUAAAGAUUUGCGGUGGGGACCGGCUGGGCUGUGGCGGGUCCUGUUUCUCUUUCACUUUCCUUCACUCUGAGGCCAGUGCGCUGGGUGGGUGAGGAGCAGCGGCAGUAGUGGGAAAGUAGUGGGAAACUACUACCCAGUUGUGGGAAAGCACAACCACCAAAAGGAGUGAUGAUCAAUGAUCUCAUGAUAAAUCUGGAUGCUAGUUCUCAUGCCUCAGGACAUCCUACUGGGAAUGCCACACCUGCUCCUGGGAUCAGACUUUCAUCUACUUAGGACUCCUCUUUGCCUGAACUACUAAAGCCAGUCCUAGCUAGCCAUGAAUGGCUACCCAAAGCAAACACUUGGUGAAAGAUUUUAAUCCUUUCAUUACCUGCUAUAUCUGUAAAGUGUAUCUGAUCAAGCCAACAGCAGUGGUGGAAUACUUCCUUACAGUCUCUAAGACUUGUAUUGUUCAGCACUUUGACGAUAGCAAUGAUUGCCCAAGGUGUGGCAACCAAGUUCAUGAGACAAAGCCAUUAGAAAUAUUGAGAUUGGACAAUACGUUAGAGGAAAUUAUAUUUAAGCUGAUCCCUGGAUUACAAAACAAGGACUUGAGUUUGAAUCUGAAUUUCGGAAGAAAAAUAAGCCUCAAGAAAAUGGACAAGAUGUUACUUCAAAAGUUGACAAACUGAAAGUGGAUGACGAAGGUGAUGAAAAUCAAGAUUAUCAUAGAAGUGACCCACAAAUUGCUAUCUGUCUAGAUUGUUUAUGAAAUAAUGGACUAUCGGGGGACAGUGUAGUAAAGGGUUUAAUGAAGAAAUUCAUUCGAUGUUCUACACAUGUAACUGUUGGAACUAUUAAAACAUUUCUAAGUUUAAAGCUAAAACUUCCAAGUUCUUAUGAGUUGGAUGUGCUGUGCAAUGGUGAAAUUAUGGGGAAGGAUCAUACUAUGGAAUUCAUCUACAUGACAAGAUGGCGACUAAGAGGCGAAAACUUUCGGUGUUUGAACUGCUCAGGUUCGCAAGUCUGCUCUCAGGAUGGCCCUUUGUAUCAGUCAUACCUUAUGGUAUUGCAGUAUCGACCAAGAAUUGAUUCUGGUUAGACGAAGGGGCCCAGACCUCACUGAGAUGAAUCCUGCACUAUUUGUUUACUGGUCAACAGAUUGCAGUUAACAGUUUAUCAACUAGAGAACACAACCGGAUUUUCAGCAUGCAAGUAAGGCCAUUGUCUAUCUCUAAAUUGCCAGUUGCAUUCAUGUUGUUUCUAUCAAGAGUAAACCAAGUGCCAUUCUGCUACUGAACCAUCCGCAUAAGGUAUCUGUGUUGUCUCAAAGAGUGCAAGUCAUGGUUAAAAUCUGGUGUGCCGCCAUGAUUCAGCCUUCUGAAUAUUUUGCUUGCCUGUUCCACGAUUGUUCUAAUGUUUAAUUACACUAGUAAAAUGGCUCAAUUUUUGUGAUGUUACAGUUUUCAUAUACUAUUUUAUUCUUGUUUAAAUAGCAUACUGUACAAGAAACUAAUAAUUAUAUUUUGAAAUUAUUUUGUAUGGAAAUAUAUUUAGAAAAGUGGUUUUUGAGCCACUAUCUUGUUCUUGGAAGCUUUUUUUUUUUUUUUGAGAUGGAGUUUCGCUCUUGUUACCCAGGCUGGAGUGCAAUGGCGCAAUCUCGGCUCACCGCAACUUCCGCCUCCUGGGUUCACGCAAUUCUCCUGCCUCAGCCUCCUGAGUAGCUGGGAUUACAGGCACGCACCACCAUGCCCAGCUAAUUUUUUGUAUUUUUAGUAGAGACGGGGUUUCAUCAUGUUGACCAGGAUGGUCUCGAUCUCUUGACCUUGUGAUCUACCUGCCUCGGCCUCCCAAAGUGCUGGGGUUACAGGCUUGAGCCACUGUGCCCGGCCCUUGGUAAGCUUUUCAUGUGAAAAAAAAGUUCAUUCUUGAGUGUGCAAGUGCUUUUGCAAAGAAUUCCAGUUAUUCUGUAACAUUAGAGCCCAACAUAAUUGUAGACAUUCUAAGCAUCUGCCUGUGUAGCCUCCCAGUUGCACAAGGAAGGCAUGUUAGCCCUCCAGAUUGAAAAUGUAUAUGACCUCUUGAACUGAAGUUAGAUUCCCAACGAUUCAAAAUGUUGGCAGCUGAUCUCAUUUACUUCUGAUAAAAUUAAUGUGUAAGUAAGGUUAAUCUUCUUUCAUGAUGCCUUGUGACAAGCAGGUGCUGCUUCAUGAAAUAUCAUUGUAUAGCCCAUUUCAUAUAGCAUUACAUUGUUGCUGUUGUUGAACAAGUGCAUUAUUUCUCUUUUUAAAUUGGCCUUAGGUAUAUGUUGUUGUGACAUGCAGAGGGUUAUGAUGAGUUUAAAUAUUAGGAUUUUUAGAGCACAUAACAUCAGCUAUUUUAUGGAUUUCAAAAGUCUCAAAACAGUUAUAGAUUAAAACUGUUAGUUACCGUUCACAUUUCCAAACUAUAUUCAUAAAAUAGAAUAAAUGCAGUAUAGAAGAUAACUAUGCUAACCAAAAUUAAUAGAUUAAGGGUAUUUUAUUUUAAAUCCUAUGGUAAUCGGGGAAAUGGGAUUAUUGUUUUAUACAUGAGUUCAUUAAGAUCAGAAAAACAAAAUGUCUUGUAUUUUGCAGUUUUGUUAAGUCUUUCAUUCAUUUUAGGAUUAGUCUGUAAGUCAAAGAAGGUCUUGUUACCUUAAGUUAUAUGAAAACUGUCAUUUUAAACCUUUUAAAAUUUACAGUUUUCAAAAAACUUAUUUGGAGAUUGCUUUGAAACAAACAAGCUAAACUUUGAAACUUAGAAAAAAAUCUUGAAAGUUAGGAAAAAUAUUUGUUUUAGAAAUAUGAGCACCAUCUGUGUGUUACACACAUUUAGUUUUUGUACUGUGUAUGUGGUAAAUGUGCCACAUUCUCCAUUAUAACGUAUCAGAAAUCAAUGCCCUCUGAAUUUCAAAAUGAUUCUUAGAAAUAAGAUAUUGUACAACUAUAGCAAACAUAUAAAAUACAGCUAAAUCUUAAUACUUUUCACUAUAUAAAAGGCUGAAACUUCAUAAUUAUCCUUUCCUUGUAUCUUUUUUUGAGUCAAAAAGUCUAUUAAAAUUUUCUGUUCUAAA